GACAGAGGCCCCGAGCGUUAGGCGGAAUCACUGGGCUUAAAGCGCGUGUAGGCGGAGGGCUAAGUCCCUUGUGAAAUCCCCGGGCUCAACCCGGGAACUGCUUGGUAUACUGGUCCUCUUGAGGCAUCUAGGGGCGAGCGGAACAAACGGUGGAGCGGUGAAAUGCGUAGAUAUCGUUUGGAACGCCAACGGAGAAAUCAGCUCGCUGGGGAUGUCCUGACGCUGAGACGCGAAAGCCAGGGGAGCGAACAGG
rnacentral:rRNA from 1 species